GCUGUUAGCUAAACACGGCUAAAGAAAACCUGCUACCACUUCAGGAUCAUCCAUCAGCUGGGACUGAUUCAUCGUGUGUUCUUCACCACCUGGACCUGGACAGCAUGGACACAGGUGUGAAACAUCUGUAAACGCCAGAUCUGGUGCAGGAAAAUGGCUGAACAGGGAGUGGGGACACACUUUGCCUUCUGCGGUUAUUUUCAACAGGUGGUUCUGGUUAAAGAAGAAGCUUCAGAAGAACAGAGAUCUUGUGUCAACCACCAGCACCUAGAUUUUCUCCAUAUAAAGGAGGAACAGGAGAAACUCUGGUCUAGUAUGGAGGGAGAGCAUCUCCAUUUGAAUAAGGAGACUGAUGCUGCCAGGUUUCAAUCCUUUAGCCAAAAAACACAUUUAAACAAACACUUCAGAGUCCAGACAAAGCAGAAACAUUUUGCCUGUGAGCACUGUGGACAAAGGUUUCACCAAAAGACUAAUUUAACCACACACAUGAGCGUCCACAUAGGAGAGAAGCCUUUUGUCUGUGAGCUCUGUGGAACGAGAUUUAGCCGAAAGACACAUUUAAACACACACAUGAGAGUCCACACAGGAGAGAAGCCUUUCACCUGUCAGCUCUGUGGGAAAAGAUUUAGUGAAAAGGGAAGUUUAAACACACACAUGAGAGUCCACACUGGACAGAAGCCUUUUGCUUGUGAGCUCUGUGGAACGAAAUUUAGCCAAAAGAAAACUUUAAACCGACACAUGAGCGUCCACACUGGAGAGAAGUCUUUCGCCUGUGAGCUCUGUGGUAAUAGAUUUAGUGAAAAGGGAAGUUUAAACACACACAUGAGAGUCCACACUGGAGAGAAGCCUUUCGCCUGUGAGCUCUGUGGUAAUAGAUUUAGUGAAAAGGGAAAUUUAAACACACACAUGAGAGUCCACACCGGAGAGAAGCCUUUCGCCUGUGAGCUCUGUGGUAAUAGAUUUAGUGAAAAGGGAAGUUUAAACACACACAUGAGAGUCCACACUGGAGAGAAGCCCUUUCCUUGUGAGCUUUGUGGAACGAGAUUUAGCCGUCAGACACAUUUAAACAGUCACAUGAGAGUCCACACUGGACAGAAAUCUUUUGUCUGUGAGCUCUGUGGAACGAGAUUUAGCCAAAAGACAAACUUAACCAGACACAUGAAAGUCCACACAGGAGAUAAGCCCUUUCCUUGUGAGCUCUGUGGAACGAGAUUUAGCCAAAAGACAAAUUUAAACAGUCACAUGAGAGUCCACACAGGAGAGAAGUCUUUCGCCUGUGAGCUCUGUGGUAAUAGAUUUAGUGAAAAGUCAGCUUUAAACAUACACAUGAGAGUCCACACAGGAGAGAAGCCUUUCGCCUGUGAGCUCUGUGGUAAUAGAUUUAGUGAAAAGGGAAGUUUAAACACACACAUGAGAGUCCACACUGGACAGAAGCCUUUUGCUUGUGAGCUCUGUGGAACGAAAUUUAGCCAAAAGAAAACUUUAAACCGACACAUGAGCGUCCACACUGGAGAGAAGCCUUUCGCCUGUGAGCUCUGUGGUAAUAGAUUUAGUGAAAAGGGAAGUUUAAACACACACAUGAGAGUCCACACUGGAGAGAAGCCUUUCGCCUGUGAGCUCUGUAGUAAUAGAUUUAGUGAAAAGGGAAGUUUAAACACACACAUGAGAGUCCACACUGGAGAGAAGCCUUUCGCCUGUGAGCUCUGUGGUAAUAGAUUUAGUGAAAAGGGAAAUUUAAACACACACAUGAGAGUCCACACCGGAGAGAAGCCUUUCGCCUGUGAGCUCUGUGGUAUUAGAUUUAGUGAAAAGGGAAGUUUAAAUAAACACAUGAGAGUCCACACUGGAGAGAAGCCCUUUCUUUGUGAGCUUUGUGGAACGAGAUUUAUCCGUCAGACACAUUUAAACAGUCACAUGAGAGUCCACACUGGACAGAAAUCUUUUGUCUGUGAGCUCUGUGGAAUGAGAUUUAGCCAAAAGACAAACUUAACCAGACACAUGAAAGUCCACACAGGAGAUAAGCCCUUUCCUUGUGAGCUCUGUGGAACGAGAUUUAGCCAAAAGACAAAUUUAAAGAGUCACAUGAGAGUCCACACAGGAGAAAAGCCUUUCGCCUGUGAGCUCUGUGGUAAUAGAUUUAGUGAAAAGGAUAGUUUAAACACACACAUGAGAGUCCACACUGGAGAGAAGCCUUUCGCCUGUGAGCUCUGUGGUAAUAGAUUUAGUGAAAAGGGAAGUUUAAACAGACACAUGAGAGUCCACACUGGAGAGAAGCCUUUCGCCUGUGAGCUCUGUGGUAAUAGAUUUAGUGAAAAGGGAAGUUUAAACAAACACAUGAAAGUCCACACAGGAGAGAAGCCCUUUCCUUAUGAGCUUUGUGGAAAGAAAUUUAGCCAAAAGACAACUUUAAACAGUCACAUGAGAGUCCACACUGGGGUUUCGCCUGUGAGUUCGGUGGAAAAGUUUUACCCAAAAGAUCAGUUUAAACGGUCACAGAAGAGUCAAUAAAGGACAGAAGCCUUUUGCUUGUGAGCUCUGUGGAUGAAGAUUUAGCUGAAAGAAAACUUUAAACAAUCAUCUAAGCAUCUACUAGGGCUGAACGAUCUAUUGCAGGGGUCUCCAACAUUUUUUGGCCCGUGAGCUACUUUUACACAAUGAAGUACAGCAGAGUUACUGCCAUAUGAUUUAUUUACAUUGAUACUUUCCAUGUGUGAAUGUGCUUACAUGCAAUACUUACUAUAUUAACAUGCACUGUACUCACAAGUUGAUUUCUCUGUAUUUCAGUACAUCAGUAUAUAUAUUUUAAAAGUAUAAGUAAACUAGUGACAUUCUGAAAACCAAAUUAAACAAAACAUAUUUAGUUUUUUAAACUAAUCAGAUACUUUCAGAUAAUGAAUAACAAAUCUACUUCAUGUGAAUGAUUUGGUAUUUUUUUAGAAGGUUAGUAACAUAACUUUUUAAGCGCACAGGAACAGCUAACCUGUAAAGCUGAUGAUAUUUUAUAUAAAAUACAAGCUAAAUGUGAUAAAAACACAAAAGUCUAAAUAGUUUGAAUUGAAGUAAAAAAUGUAAAAUCAGAAAUGAGACUUGUUCCUGCUCUCCUGAUGUACUGAAUAAUUUUUAUGGGUUUUUUUUUUUUUGUCAUGAAAGUUAAGUUUUGCUGCAUUUAUUGCUGACAAUAUGAAGGUUGGGGGUUUAUCCUUUUUUCUGCAUCUUGUAGGUUUUUUUUCUCCACGCGUCUCUAAAUAAAGUAAAAUUUUCUAGUGCAGAGUGGAGACAACCCAUAGAAGUACUGAUUUGAUCUCAUUUCAGAGAAAAAUAGAACAGGUUAGAUGCACCUAAUAAAUAAAAUUAUAACAAUCUCAGGAAUCUGUUUCUUUGCUUCACUGUUCUGGUGCUGAGAAUAUCACUAAUGCGGAUCAAAGGAGAUACACAGAUGAAUGCACCUCUUAUUUAUUAUUUGGAGACUACAUUUACUGCAGCUGGCAGAGGCAGAGAUUUUUUCUAUUGAUACACGGAAUUUACAGAAUCAUUUUAAAUUUUAAUAGGGGAAGACUGCAGGAGGGAGCGGUAAAAUACAGGGGGUCCCCAGCAAAAACAAACUUUACGAGCCUGAUGAAACCCGCUGGUUUUCCAUCAGGCAGUCACGGGGCAGCUCCAACGACCCAGUGUCUGUGCUGGGUCACUGUUAUCGAGCUCAGUCCGGCUCGGCCGUGAACGAGCUGAGGCGAUGUCGUACUCUGCUUGAAGAGGUGUUAUUUUCCCGCUUCAGAAGAAGCGUUCAACGUGUUUUUAAGCUUUCUCCGAGACAUGUCACGUCGCUAAGUUGUUAGCGCCGCGCGCUAACACGUCAAUAGUGCAGCGUAGCCUGCUGGAGGUUUUAAGGGUUCAGAUGAAAACACCCGACCUCUCAGGCUGCUCACACAUCGAUCUUAAGUUGUCGCUGUUGCGCUCACAUCGUAAUACAGUAUUAGAUGCGGGUAAAGUCAGACAUGAAAAAAUAAAAUAAAUUUUACAUGAAUAAGUGAUGCUUAGCCUGGUGGGGAGAGGAAACCCUGUCAAGAUCGUCAACGCUCAUUUAUCUUAAUGCUAUUGAAACAUGUAAACCAAAAAGCAUUAUAUCCACUGCUACCUUUAUGCUGUAACUUCACCCUGCCCUGCCUGCUCCUCCUUGCUGCCUGCCGGCUGUGAUCACAAGCGACAACAUAGUAGUUCCCGCUGCUUCCUCGGGAAACAGCUAAAAAAAAAAUCCUAUGUAAGGGAAACCCUGGUGUAGUUAUUGUGUAAAGCAGUAUAUACUAGGAAUGAUUAAUAAAAAUAAAAACUAGAAUUGAACCUGAGUUACAUAGUAAUAACAAUUUAAGAACUCAGAAACAAUAAUACACUAACUUACUAAGUAAUUACCAUGUAAGUACUAAGUAAUUAGAGGAGUGUAAAAUAAAGCGCUACCAAUAAUUGUACUUAAUAUGCAUUUAUUUUUGUGUGCUAUGUUCUGUGUCAAUAUUCUUUGAUUUUAUUUUACACAACAUGAUGUGACAUUUUAACUAUUUCAUUUCACUUGUGAUUGUUUUAACUAUGUGAAGCACAUUGGGCUACCGUUUUGUGUAUGAAAUGGGCUAUAUAAUAAACUUGACUUGAGAGAGAGUUCACAAUCAUGUUUUGUUACUAAAUGAGACACUCAGCUGAAACUGGGGGAAAUAUAUGAUGAAUCUAAAUCACAGGAGAUGUCCAGAGUUUUUAAAGCCCGUGUUCAUCAUGUUGUGGGGACCACAAUGAGGCUACACUCACACCCAGUUCUUGGUACCACAGACGUAUAUAUUGACUUGGGACUGUUUGUAUGUAAAUAUUGUUGACUGCUUGGCCGCUUGAUCAGAACCAGAAACGUAUGUGUAACAGACCAUCUGGGUGUUCAAGGGGCCGUAUGUGGAGGGCCACACAGAGGCUACGCUCACACCCAGUUCUUUGGACUGUUUGUAUGCAGAUGUAGCAGGACUGGUUGGUGUCUCAACCAGUUGAUCGGCCAGCCUAUCACACAUAUUAAUCAAACCAGCCCACCAUUAAAACAUAUUACAGAUGAUAACAACUCUACUGCUUGUACUAUAAGAUUAAUGCACACAAUUUAAUUUAAGACAUUUAACUGCAUGUGUGCACGUGUUUGUUUGCACUGAAUGUGUUUGUGCACAUGGUUCACACGUGUGUAGGGUUAAUCUACAUACUAGAACUAACGCUGUUGCUAUCAGCUUUGUUAGAUUCUGAGAAAGACAAACAAGUUAAUAUAUGAAGCUUCUAUCAUAUAUAAACAUCUAGGAUAUUAAUAUAAUCGAUAGAAUUUCAUACACCAACGAGCUUGGUUUAUAUUUAAUCUAUGGAUUAAUAUUUAAUUUAAGAUGUUUAAAUUAAUAGCAAAAGUUUAUUUAUUAAACAGAAGACUUAAUAAGGUUCUUUGCUGAUUCAAUAACUGAAAAUGCACACCAUUCUGUGUUUCAUUCAAAGAGUCAGGUUUAAAAAUUUAAGAAUUUAUUACUAACAAUUUCAAAUCUGACAACUUAAAAUAGACAAUUUAUGAAUAACAAUUUAUAAAUGACAAAUUUGAACAACAAUUUUGAUAUUAAAACUUGUUAUUAAAGCAACCCCUGUGUCUGGAUGGAAAACUAAGUGGAAUGAUGAGGUUUGGAUGCGUGAAUGAAAUCUCAGAAGCUUUCUUUCAGAUGGAGAACGCGUUCUGGGUGAAACGUUGGUUUUUCAGCUAACUGAUGGUUUCUUAGAGAGAACAACAUCGGACGCAAUCUGUGUUCUACCUCACCGUUCAGACGACCCUCUGUGUGGAUCUGGAGGUCUGGAGGAUGUUGUCAGCCUCGGGGGUACUCCGGUCCGGCAGAUGACCAAGGGUACCGACUUUCUCUGGUCCUAGAGUUGCCGUGAGGUGCACAGGUAGAUGUGGCUUUGCAUCCGGGCAGAUUCUUAAGGAAUCUCGUAGUGUCAGCUGGUUAUAGGUGCGUUUAUUCAGAACUAUUCUAUCUGCGUGACAGAACGCUUAGUGAGGAGUCAGGCGGCCGACCCUUCUCCUCUGGGAUACUCUCGUUGCCACGAAGAAGUAUCAGCUUGGUUCAAGAACUGAACUUAAGCUGUGGAGCUUUGGUUUUAACAAAACCUCAGAACACGCCCUCUCAGAGACAGGAAGCAUGACUAUGGAAGACAUGUGAGGCAGUUACCUUGAAGUGAGUCCUGCAUGAGGUGUAAACACGUGCAAAAGACCUUCUGGUUACUGAACACACAUUACUGAUUAUCAUAAAUAAUUAUUAACCAAAGAAUAAUAAGUCAUUUCAUUAGUUAAAAAUACAUUUAUAAUGACCUAUGAUGAUCAUUUAUGAUGAUUAUAGUUAACCUUAUAAUAAAAGAGUUUAUUAAAUUAUUUGAUUAGAGUUGAAGGUCCUUCAUCUCGUGAUGGAACAGCAAACAGAUAAACAGUCAGAUUGAAGACGGUGUUAUUGUAGACUAUUCGGCUCCUGGUGGUUUAAUCUGUGGAUGGAAGUUACAGCUCAACCCAGCUGUGACCCAGCUGGAAAGAGUGAACUUUGCCCCACAAAAUGAGGCCAUUCAUGAUGCUACACGUGCGACCAUCAAGAACAAAGUAGAAAUUCAGCGAAAGAAAGCAAAUUGACUAUAUAUUAAUUUGGUACAAGUGUGAACCUAGAGCCCCACGACUGUUAUUUUAGGUACGGAGAGUGAUCACGCUAGAUCAAACAAUGGGCUGAGACAAUGUCUUCCUCCAAACUUGAGUUUAUUUACACACAAUGCAUAAAACAAGUUAUUCUGUUACAACCUCAACCAGGUCUGGGAUCCUGGGAGGGCUAACACAGGUACGUGAGUGCAAAAAAUAAAAAUAAAAUAGGGAGCAGUACACCAAAUCAUAUUUGACAAAACAAACAUUUUAUCAACAAAAAGCGUCCCUCGUCAUCGUCUUCCUCAGCUUAUCCGGGUCCGGGUCGCGGGGGCAGCAUCCCAACUAGGGAGUUCCAGACUGUCCUCUCCCCGGCCACCUCCACCAGCUCCUCCGGCAGGACCCCAAGGCAUUCCCGGACCAUAUUGGAGAUGUAACCUCUCCAACGUGUCUUGGGUCGACCCGGGGGCCUCCUGCCGGCAGGACAUGCCCGAAACACCUCCCCAGGGAGGCGUCCAGGAGGCAUCCUGACCAGAUGCCCAAACCACCUCAACUGACUCCUUUUGAGCCGGAGGUGCAGCGGUUCUCUUCCGAGUCCCUCCCAAAUGUCCGAGCUCCUCACCCUAUCUCUAAUGCUGAGCCCGGCCACCCUACGGAGGAAACUCAUUUCGGCCGCUUGUAUCCGCGAUCUCGUUCUUUCGGUCAUUACCCAAAGCUCAUGACCAUAGGUGAGGAUUGGGACGUAGAUUGACUGGUAAAUCGAGAGUCUGGCUUUCUGGCUCAACUCCCUCUUCACCACGACAGAUCGGCUCAGCGUCCGCAUCACUGCAGAUGCUGAACCAAUCCGCCUGUCGAUCUCCCGAUCCCUCCUACCCUCACUCGUGAACAAGACCCUAAGAUACUUAAACUCCUCCACUUGAGGUUGGACAUCUCUCCCGACCCGGAGUUGGCAAGCCACCCAUUUCCGGUCGAGAACCAAAAAGCGUCCCUACGGGAGAUAAACGACAACACAAAAUGGAAGAAGACUUGUUAAGACAAAAAUGAUAUUCCAGAAAUGUUCUGAGUAAUAUGGCCAUUUAACACUCGGCCUUAACAUUAACUUAUCUGUGCGAAUACUGGGGAUUCACCCAGAGAAUCCAAAUAUGAGGCCUUACCAGAAACAAAGGGGGAGCAGACUCAACCAAACAAUAACCACCCUCAACAACAUAACGACAAGCGGAAGUAAGGGAAGCCGGCCCCAAAAGAACAUAACGCUUUCCCUAAGGUUACGUCCAAACCGUCUGGAUAAUACCAUAGCUUUAAGAACUCCCCCGAGCCUCCAGAGUUCCAAGAGAAAAAAGAACAUUGCUGGUGGGCCAGUUCUGGCUGACAGAUGGGAUUUGGGUGUUGGUUGUCUUAUUUGUUGGGAUGCACAUUUUGUAUCUGUGUUCUGUUUAUGUGGCUUUACCUCAAAAGAACUUUGAAAUCUCAUCUCUACACAAAUCUUAUUUCACAAACCAGGAAAAAAAUCUAUAUCUAUCUAUCUAUCUAUCUAUCUAUCUAUCUAUCUAUCUAUCUAUCAUCUAUCUAUCAUCUAUCUAUCUAUCUAUCAUCUAUCUAUCUAUCUAUCUAUCUAUCUAUCUAUCUAUCUAUGGUUAAUCAUCAGUAUGCUUUGUGAAAAUAAGGUUUGAUCACACAUGUAUUUAUAUGCUUAUAAUGAAUCACCUGUAUGUUAAUCCCCAUAUUAAUCAUUUCAAUGUUCGGGUGUUACUCACGUCCCUUUGAACUGAACGAUGCAUAUACCAAAUGGAUGACUCACCUGUGACUGGUACGUUCUAGCACUGAGUUAGACCUAUAUCUGAUUUAUGCAGGCUGAUACUGCUAGAAGUUUCAGCUUGUGUUGAAGGAGAUUCUCAACAGGCGAAGGCCAGGUGCAGACCAGACCAUCUAAAAGCUGUUCAACGGGAAAAAGCCAGGGCGUAGGUCAUCGCAGCCUUAGCAAAGGAAGAUAGGGUAGGAAGCAGAUGGGGCAAUGUGUCUCCCAUCUUAUCUGGAGGAGGGAGUGAAAGCAGAGAGGGGUGUCAGUUACCAUGGCAACAGGUGAUGGCCUUCAAUAAAGUUAGGGAGGGGUCAACAUGAAACUUUGCAUCAUGAGAGGAAGAAUCAAAAGGUGUACAUCUUGUAAAAUUUUCAGAUUUGUCACAGGGACUGGGGCGGCAGAAUCUCUCCUAAUGCACGUGGAGAAUAAAGUGUGAUGAUUGCAACAUAAGGCAACUUGUGGCUUACUUCUUGUCCCACGCCCUGGUUGUAACUGCCUUCUAUAAUUUUGUACACAACUGUAACAGAAAUGUUGUGACUGUAUCUUUUGCUGCCUCUUGGCCAGGGCUCCCUCAAAACUGAGAACUUUAAUCUCAAUGGAACCUUCCUGGUUAAAUAAAGAAUAUAAAAAUAAGUAAAUAAAAUGUAUUUAGAUGAUGAAACGUCAAAAAGGAAAAUUAUUUUACUUGUUUGUCAGUGCAUUUGAAGAAACAACUUAAAAUGUUAUUUAUUUAACCAGAUGAGUCGAUAGAGAACUCAUUCUCAUUUACAACAAUGAUCUGGCCAAGAGGCAGCAGCAACAGACACAUAAUUAGCUUUACAUCAAAGAAAAACAAAUGAGAUAAAAACAAACUAGAUUGAAAUAAAGUAAAUUACAGAAUUAUUAUAGCAGGUGUAAAACUAACUUGUCUUUACUUUAAGUAAUUGUUUGAGGAAGAUAUCACAUGUUAUGUGUGUUUUAUUAGUCCCAUUCUGAACACACAGGUGUUUUAUUCUGCUCCAGCAGGUGGCGCUAGUGCACCUUUACGCUGGUCACCGACCACCUGAAGAAGCAGAAACCGGAAGCUGCUAGCAGAGCUAGCUUGUUGUUCUGGUGUGUGAGGAGAACAUUUGAGGCUCUGCAGUAAAAAUGUCUUCACUUCAGUCUCUGGGAGAGUUGAUCAGCUAAAGCAACUAACUGCUGCUGCUGCAGAAAUCUUCUCACCAGGCUGUGGAAACUUUCUUCUCCUCCUCAACAACUUGGUGGAGUUCUUUCCAGAACCAGAGAAGAUAUUCUGCGGUCUUCGUGACAAUCGGAGCUCCAGAAUCAGGUUGUGGAUUGAAGAGGUUCCCUCUAUCAGACUCGCUCAUCUGAGUUGGUCAUGAUGCAGGAUCGCUGCUCGCUCUCUCAUCCAUCCUGCUCACACUCUCCGACGGAAAAGCCCCGAAUCUGAAUGUGACUCUGGAGGAAAAAGUGGUUAGCUCUACUCCGUGAACUCUGCUGUUAGCUAAACACGGCUAAAGAAAACCUGCUACCACUUCAGGAUCAUCCAUCAGCUGGGACUGAUUCAUCGUGUGUUCUUCACCACCUGGACCUGGACAGCAUGGACACAGGUACUGGUGGAUGAAUGAAUGAAUAUAUGGUCAGUCUAUGGUGGGACAUUACAGUGAAAUUAUGAGAAUGAGGUUCAAUCUUUAAAAUAAUGAUCUGUAUAUGUUUAGCACUACUGGGGUUCUAAACCCCCCAAAGCGUUUUACAUCACAACCAGUCAUUCACACACUGUUGUAGAACCUUGUAGUUUUAGAGUGAUUAGAUCUCUCUAAUGAAUGAUUUUUGAAGCCAAGUAUAGUUAAAGUCCCAAAGUCAUCGUCACACACUGGUGAAGUUACGUCCUGCAUUCGACCCGUCCCCAUGGGGAGCGGUGAGAUGAAGCUGUGGGAACUAUUUGGUCUUCUGUCGGGUUUCAGUCACUACGAGAAUCAGUCAGAGACAGGAGAGGUUUUCAUCGUGUUCACAACCUACCUUUGUUGUAGCGUCAGUCACGCAUCAUCAUUUGACCAAUCACAGUUGGGGAGACAGCCUGCUGCAGACACGACGGCAGCGGCGCUGACAGCACGUAUGACUGCUGUUGCUUCAGCACGUCGCUGUGGUUUAGAGCUUAAAGGCCCAGUGUGUAAAAACAUUCGACUCUUCAGCGCCACGCAGUUCAGAGUAAGUAUUGCAGCUCCGGUAGCCCACACUAGGGUUGGGCUGUUUUUCCAUUCGCCCAUCAUUAGUCCAGUAAAUGACGAUGGGCCGUGGUGUGUGCGUGUGACUGAUUACGGUAUGAUUCACUGACUGAUUUGCGAACACAGAAGAAGUCUAAACAUGGAUGUUUUUAUGGAUGUGCAGCACAAAUUAGAUUUUUCUUUUUGUUUAACUCACUCACUGCCAGCCGUUUCCUGAUCAGAAAAGCUCUUCUCUGCCAGCGUUUUUCAGCGUUUUUACUGUUUUUUUAAGAGUCACAGAACGUUGCUCUAUGAUGAUGUCAACGCCAAAACUACCAAAACAAAGAGUAGACUCACCUCUUACAGGAAGAAUCCGCGCAUUUUGACCGUUAUCUGUUCUUUCAUAAGCCGUUGUUGAAUAGUGAUCGGCAGAAACUUUUCCGGUUCUCGCCUCACUUUUUUUUUACAGCAGCGUCCCAAAACGAUCUCCUAACACACACGUGUCAGACACCAUGCGGCCCGUGGAGCAUUUUUAUGUGGCCCGCGAGAUAAUUAUCAAAAAUAUCUUAAAACUGGCCCGCCAAGACUACAACUCCCAUGAUGCUUUGCAGCGUUAACGCAGAGCCGAAGUGCCCCCUCCUUUGUGUUUUUUCCAGCGUCUGCUGCCGGUGUCUGCAGCUCCGCUGUCUCAGACAAACUAAACACUCCUCUCACUCAGCGCCGAGUUUUCUCAGCUAUUUUCUGACGUUGAAGCCCAGAAACGGAGAUUCUAGCCGCUCAGUAAUGUGUUCACGACUGAAAGAGAAAGUUUUCCAGCUAACUUCCAGACAGAGCUGGUAUAACUCCAGCGAGCAGCAACACGCUCAAACCAGCACGACUCUGUGGCUGCUGUAGUUGUUAUUUUUCCUCCCCGACACACAACGACGUGGUCAAGCUGCUCAGACAUGUUCAUCAGCACAAACCUAUGUGAGCACCUGUUGUCACCUAAUGUUGUCAUUAUUAUGAUGAAGAUGAACAAAACAACAGGAGUCUCCUCCUCAGCUCAGAUCAACCCCAUGAUGCAGGUAUCUGGCUGGAACAGGUGAGCAUCACAGUAAACCAGUGGAGCAAACUGAGCUUUAAAUAUGUUGGUUUUAUGCUCUUUUUCUGCUCCAAAACAUGAAAGUUAACAGGUGAGAUGUUGCAUUUUCAUUUAAGAUAAAAUGAUAUUUUUAUUUUGUUGUUGGCCCGUGAGAAAAGAUUUAACCUACAGUAAACAGGAAGUGGAAAGGCUGCAGAUAGAUGAAUAGAAUAGAAAAUCCCUUUAUUGUUCCUCAGUGGGGAAAGCUAGACGUCACAGCAGCGAUGACACG